AAGAUAACGAGUGCCUUGGUCAACGAAUUCAGAUAACAAUGUGGUAGAACUUCCUUUCAAGUCAAUUUCGGUAUAUAUGAAGAGAUUAAGUACAGACAUGCUUCCAUUAGUACUGUUAACCAUUUGUACUCUUAGUGGUUUUAUUGAAGCUAAAACUAGUACAGACCAGUUAGAGAGGUCAUCACGAUUUUGCCGUUUUUGCAAGUAUAAUCCGUGUAGACAUGGGAUUUGUCACAACUUCUUUUUAUGGUUUGCUUGUACAUGUCACAACGGUUAUGAAGGACACCUAUGCC